AGCUCCAAUGGCGUAUAUUAAAUUUGUUGCGGUUAAAAAGCUCGUAGUUGGAUUUCUGCCGAGGACAGCCGGUCCGCCCUCUGGGUGAGCAUCUGGUUUGGCCUGGGCAUCUUCUUGGGGGGCGUAGCUGCACUUGACUGUGUGGCGCGGUGUCCAAGACUUUUACUUUGAGGAAAUUAGAGUGUUUCAAGCAGGCGCGCGCCUUGAAUACAUUAGCAUGGAAUAAUGAGAUAGGACCUCAGUUCUAUUUUGUUGGUUUCUAGAGCAGAGGUAAUGGUUAAUAGGGAUAGUUGGGGGCAUUUGUAUUUAACUGUCAGAGGUGAAAUUCUUGGAUUUGUUAAAGAUGAACUACUGCGAAAGCAUUUGCCAGGGAUGUUUUCA
rnacentral:rRNA from 1 species